UCCGCCAAAAUAUGGGUUGGGUUGAGACUUUGAACCAAAAUGCCAAAAAUGGGUGAGCCCAACCCAACCCGUAUUUUGGUGGG
rnacentral:pre_miRNA from 1 species